rnacentral:rRNA from 1 species
UACGUAGGGUGCGAGCGUUGUCCGGAAUUAUUGGGCGUAAAGGGCUCGUAGGCGGCUUGUCACGUCGAUUGUGAAAGCCCGAGGCUUAACCUCGGGUCUGCAGUCGAUACGGGCUAGCUAGAGUGUGGUAGGGGAGAUCGGAAUUCCUGGUGUAGCGGUGAAAUGCGCAGAUAUCAGGAGGAACACCGGUGGCGAAGGCGGAUCUCUGGGCCAUUACCGACGCUGAGGAGCGAAAGCGUGGGGAGCGAACAGG